CUCCUCAGGGACUUGGUUGUCUGCUCAGAGCUCUAUUAAUGCAGUUUCCCUGGAGAUGGAGCCAUAGUGCAUCAGACAAGUGAGCAAGAUGAUGUCACAUUCCCAACUGCUUGUACUCUGGGCCUCAGGCGCCAGUGGGGACAUCGUGAUGACCCAGUCUCCAGGCUCUGUGGCUGCAUCUGCAGGAGAGACCGUCACCCUCAAGUGCAAGGCCAGUCAGAGUGUUAGCAGCUACUUAGCCUGAUACCAGCAGAAACCAGGACAGACUCCUAAACUGCUCUUCUAUGCUGCAUCCAACUGGCCAUCUGGGGUCCCUGAUCAAUUCAGUGUCAGUGAGUCUGGGACAGAUUUCACUCUCACCAUCAGCAGAUUCCAGCCUGAAGAUGUGAGAAAUUAUUACUGUCAGCAACGUCAGAGCUCUUCUCCCACAGUGCUUCAACCUCAAGCACAAACCUCCUCCCCAGGGCUGUAGGGCAGUGAGUCUUGCAACACCAGCUGCUUCCUGUUCAAAUAGACUUGAAUAAGUUUGCUUCUUCCAUCAGUCUGAGAAACUACAUCCUUUAGGGUCUGUACCAUAGAAAUCUUUUUUUUACUUGGCUAGAUCUAAUUACAGGGUGACUGGACCCUCUAGGCUAGGGUCUUUUAAACUUUAUACCCUGAUGGAUUGAUUCUCUAUUCAUUGUACCUCCUUUAUGUUUAAACAUCAUCUUCUUUCCUUGUCUCUUCCAUCUUCUUCCUUCUCCUCCGUCAUCUUCCAACUCUGGUGCUUCCCAAGAUUAAAUCCUUGAUCCUUCAUAUUCAAAACUUCCUCUAUGGAAGGUCAUUUUCCUCCCUUACUCUUUCUUCCCUGGACACUUUGCAUUCCAAGCCUUUCUUUUCAGUGUCACAAAAGAUGAUUUGAUAUCCUACUCUACCUUCCUUUUUUCUUUAGAUAACUAUUUUCAUUUCUUAUUGCCAUCAAUUAGUAAUUGUGGAUGCCUUAAUAUACUAUACUCAGUGAAGAAUGCUUAGGUUAAGGGAUGAUGCUCAGCCA
rnacentral:lncRNA from 1 species